CAGGACGAACGCUGGCGGCGUGCCUAACACAUGCAAGUCGAACGGACGAGAGGAGCUUGCUCCUCAAGUUAGUGGCGGACGGGUGAGUAACACGUGAGCAACCUGCCCUUCGGAGGGGGGACAACAGCUGGAAACGGCUGCUAAUACCGCAUGAUGUAUUCUGGAGGCAUCUCCGGGAUACCAAAGAUUUUAUCGCCGAAGGAUGGGCUCGCGUCUGAUUAGAUAGUUGGCGGGGUAACGGCCCACCAAGUCUGCGAUCAGUAGCCGGACUGAGAGGUUGAACGGCCACAUUGGGACUGAGAUACGGCCCAGACUCCUACGGGAGGCAGCAGUGGGGAAUAUUGGGGACAAUGGGGGCAACCCUGACCCAGCAACGCCGCGUGAAGGAAGAAGGCUUUCGGGUUGUAAACUUCUUUGACGAGGGACGAUAGUGACGGUACCUCGAAAACAAGCCACGGCUAACUACGUGCCAGCCGCGGC
rnacentral:rRNA from 1 species